rnacentral:rRNA from 10 species
GCUUACGGCCAUACCACCUAAGGCACGCCCGAACUCGACUGAUCUCGGAAGCUAAGCAGGGUCGGGGUUGGUUAGUACUUGGAUGGGUGACCGCCUGGGAAUACCAGGUGCUGUAAGCA